ACCCUGCCUCAAGAAAAACUAAAUUAAGUUUUCAGGUUGUUUUAUGAUAUGUGCCUUCCUCAAAACUUGUUACGAUAUCAUCACCUCACCCAUCUGAUG